GAGCUCUGAGUGGUUUCCUGUUGCCUGUCUCUAAACCCCUCCACAUUCCCGCGGUCCUUCAGACUGCCCGGAGAGCGCGCUCUGCCUGCCGCCUGCCUGCCUGCCACUGAGGGUUCCCAGCACCAUGAGGGCCUGGAUCUUCUUUCUCCUUUGCCUGGCCGGGAGGGCCUUGGCAGCCCCUCAGCAAGAAGCCCUGCCUGAUGAGACAGAGGUGGUGGAAGAAACUGUGGCAGAGGUGACUGAGGUAUCUGUGGGAGCUAAUCCUGUCCAGGUGGAAGUAGGAGAAUUUGAUGAUGGUGCAGAGGAAACCGAAGAGGAGGUGGUGGCGGAAAGUAUGUCCCUUCCCUGUAACUUGGCACAUCCAAGCUGCCCUUGGCUGCCUGGGCCUGGGGCACGAGGACAGCCUACAUGAGGCUCCUUCCAGCAGAAAUGCAGGGUGGGGUCCUCAGUGGGCUAUGAAGGAAACACGGCUUUGACUUAACAAGUGGGAAACUGUGGCACUCAGUCCCCUGGGAUCUGGGCAAGAUCGGUUUCCAGGCCAUCCAUGUGUGUGGUAGGAAGGAGAGUUCUCCAGCUGGAAAUGGGCUUCUCCCCUCAUAGCUCUUUGCCCUGAGUCCAAAGCUGAGUUUCCCAGUCCCACGGAGGUCGCUGAUCACAUCUGGUCACCGAAAUCUCCCAUUGCUUCUGUAUCAGCCCGUGCCCCACAGAGAAGUAGAACUGAGAGAAGAGAUCAGGAACUUGCACACUCAUAAGCUCAUUCUAUUUCACACAGUCCAAGGAAACGAGGUCCUGAGGAAAUGCAACCUGACAUAAUCCGUACCAUGCUAUCCAUGCGUUAGUGCCCUGGGAGAGAAAUGACCUAGG
rnacentral:lncRNA from 1 species